AGCCCGCGCGGGAGCCACGUUUCGGCCCAACGCUGAGCGGUUGAAAGGAAGUAUCCUGGUCGUGUCGUCGCCGUUGGUGGUCGUCCCACGUCAUCUCCUGAAAUCGCCGGGUAUCCACACUCUCCCGCAGUGUCGGCUGUGUCUCCGCUGCUGUCCCGCACCGUCGGUCGCUGCGCCCGGGCCUUGCGACUAUGUGGCUCCUUGCAGACAGAGGACAGCUGUCCCUUGGAUGGCUGUGCGGGCUCUGCAUGAGCCAGCGCCCUUUUCUCCUGCAGGACCCUGAUCUGCACUGCCUGAUGUGUCCCCACCGUGUCCGGGCAGUGAGGCUGUCCCCUGGAAUUGACAUGUGACUGCUGUUCCACAUGUGUGAGAGGUGUCCUCAGGGAGAGCCUGAAUUGUGAGGUCCCAGAUGGGUCUGUGCAUGCAGAGGUGCCAUGGGCGGCGUCAGUCAUCUUCGUGUCAGCCUUCGUAUCAGCUGGGCGCCGGGCCAUGGGGCCUGAGGUAAGGUUUUCGCACCGUUUUCUAGAAUUUUGUUAUUUUGUUUCUGUAACGUCGCUGUGCAUGUUCCCUGGGGCUUGGGGGAUAACACAAGGGGAACGGAGGUAAAAGUGGCAUCCCGUGAGUUCCCAGUUGUGUUUCUGUUGAGGGGCGGUCCCUCCAUGCCUAUAGGGGAGGGGCUUGGGUAAAGGGCUCCCUGGGGCAUCUCCGGUUUCAGUGCUGGAGGCUCAGCUGCGCUGUGAUGGAAAACGUUCAUUUAGACAGCAGAGACGCUGGUCCCACCUCUGAACCUGUCUGGCUCUGUGACCUAUUCUCAACCUCUACGUCUUCAUCUGAAAAGCAAAGCUGGGAUAGUAGAGGUUUUUAAAAUGUUCACGAUGGUGUCAUGAUCCCAUGAUCCUGAUCCUUUCCAACCUAAAAGCAUUUCCAGUUUUUCAGAAAUGUCUUGACUCUCUCUGCCCCAGAGGUUUUAUGGGGUCUUUGUAGGACACAACAGAAGCUGCUACGUCGGGCUCUGCUUGGCUCAGCCGCUCUCCCCGACUCAGGCCGUUCCUCAUUCCUCAGGCCCCUGGCACCAGCCUCCCAUUCUUCCCAGCUCUCUUUCUGUCCCUUUCUUCUCCUGCAUCCGAAAGGGAUCACGGGCUGCCUGUGCGCUGGUCAUUGAUAGCGCAGGGAGAGGAAGCACUGAAAGGACUUUUCCCCGUGUUUGAAGGGUCCAGCCGUCCCUCCCAAACCCUGGAGCUUUCACACACUAGCUUUUUCCCCCUGCCGUUCCCUUCAGAGCUUGGGCCUUUGCUGGCCCCCAUGUGGUAUGGUGACUGCUAACCCCCUGAUUGGUGGGGUUCACUUUAUCUUUUCAAGUUAAGGACCUUCUGGUCAGUAACCAGUCCAUACGGUUAUAUUUGGACCUCACACUAGGGUGAGUCACAUGGUGCCGAAGGGCAUGGUUGAGGAUUAUAAAUCGUGGGGUCUCCGCUUUAUGAAUUUAUAGGAGUGGAGGGUAAUCCAUAAUAACACGCUAUCCCAGACAGCGUGACUGAAAUGCUCGCUCGUGUGUUGUCUUCGGUCCUUUACUCUUUCUCGAGCACAAUGUGUAUUGCUUCUCCGGGAGCCCUCCCGAAUAUGGAUUAAGUAGAGAAUGAAAGGUAAAAGGUGGGGGCCAGAUAUAGGGGCACAGGGGUUCUGUCAAUUCUAAAUCAAGAAAGUUUUCAUUUGUCACAGCCUCCCGGACGAUUGGGGAGCGUUGUUGCCAGUCACCAAGGAGAGAAGAUAAUUGACUGAUUGCCCUCCUUUGGCUGACUUUUCAUUUGUGCCUUUGUGGGUUCUCUUUUGAAAAGGGUGACCCUAGGGGUUUACUAGAGAAGAAAUUCUCAGGUCUGUGGGUCUUUGAAAUCUGUAUUUGUAGACUCCAGACUCCCUCGCCUGUGUCCUGGUUCACGUUAGGAUAUUGUGUUGCCGACUGGGCUCCCAGACAUGUAGUUCGCCAUCCAGAUGGGCUGACCUGCCUGCCUUCUGUGUGCUGCUGUGUGCUGUGUUCUGUGGGAGGCAGAUACCUGCAACGGUGCCUUCACUUUGGAGGCUCAGAAGAUGCGACACGGUGCCCCUGAGGCGCAUGUCUUGGCUGAGGUGAGGUCAAAGGACCCAUCCCAUUGAUCCCCACUUUUGGUUUGAGGGUGCUUGUCUAGGUCCCAGGUCCUCUUCCGUUGACAUUCAGGUCUUAUCUUUGAGGAUGGCAUCCUGUUUUAUCAGAUAUUUUUGUUCCCAUCUCAUGAUGAUGUGAAGGUGGUGAGAAUAGUGUCUGUGAGCCACUUGAUACAGGCAGCCAUCUAAUAAACCUGAGAUUUCCCUUGCCUGUCAAACCUGCCCCCUGCCCCUUUUGCAUCACGGGCCCACAGCCUCGUUCCUGGGCUUGGGGCUCCUCAGCCAGGCUGGAGCAUUUAGUGGACGGUGGCGACCAUUUGGAAAGAGCUUAUUGCCCUCUCAAGCCAAGACCUGGUAAAAAUCAAACCUCUGGGUGGAGAGUCCUGUGGGUUGAGCUGAGGUUCACUUACGUAAUGUCCUCAUGCUCUGACGUCGUUUUCUCAUUUCUCCUUUAAACGGGACCGCAGUCUUGAUCUUCAGAGAUCACGGCAACUAACAAGUCUUGCUGGAAGUUUAUCUUUCAGUUGCCUUUCUGGCAGGGUCCUACUAAGUGGAUCUCUGCAGAAUAGGAUGCCAGCUGCUGGGCAGACAAGUAAUGACAACUUGGUGUGAGAGCUGCUGAGGACGGCGGUCCACCCCCUUGUUCAGGAUGCAGUGGGACCUCGGUGUCAGAGCCCCUGACAGUCAGCCUUGCACUGGAGACCGUGGAAGGAAGCCCUCAGGUUGUGAAUCAGUGACCGUCAGGGUAACUUGGCACCUGGGUUUGCUGCUGUUCUCACCAAGGUGAGAGUCUCUUGGGAUUGUUGGCGGACACCAGAGGGGCAAAGAACGAAGCCUCACCACCGCUGCCGGCUCAGAGCAUCAGGGGACGACGGUUCACUCUGCACAGGAGAUCAGAGGAAAAGUGCUGGGACCGGGGGUUGGGGUCCACUUCAGCUGGCUCUGAGUCUUGACAGCAAACAGUACCCUCACAGGGCCAUGAGCGGGGGCGGGGGCGGGGCGCCCCGUGUUCCUCUGCCAUGCUUGGAAUAACCUUGAUAACCAACAGUUUCUCUCAUCACUUUCCUCUCCACCUACCCAUUCAAUAAACCUUACAAACUUGCUCCUUCUGCCUUUUAAAUCAGUAUCAAGCCGUGUGCCAGCAAGCCUAGGCAUGGAGAAAGUGGGUCACAGGCCAGAUGUUGUUUUCAGUCCUCAAGCCUUUCCGGUCACGCUCCUAAGGUUGGGGACAUAGGCUGUUGUUGAAGUGUUCAGUGAGGACGAGGAGGUGAACAAGUGAUGGCAGUUGGCUCAGAUUUAGUGAAAGUUGAGGGUGUUGAGGAAGAGUCAAUCCAAGGCUUUGGAAGGGGCUGGUGACAGGGUGGCCUGGUGUGAGACAGGUGCUGAUGUCAUAGAGGAAGCUGGGGUGGCCUGGAGUUCUGGGUCCCAGUUCUCCUGGGAUUGAGGGGUUUCCCGGGACGUGGGACUUGCUUUGCUACAACUGGAAAAGUCCUAGGCAAACUGGGAUGAGUUGGUCAACUUCUCUGGGGUAUGAAAUACAUGAUGUCAACUUGAGAGGACAGGUUACCGAGUAAAGGGGGGAGCAGGGUGAACGUGGAGCAGCUGCCAUUGGUGGACGUUGGGAGUGUCCUCAAGGUCAGGCUUUUUGGAGAUCAUUGGGGUAAAAUCAAUAACUGCGACAAUGUGAUGAUGGCUGUGCUGAGGGUGAGCAUGCGUGAACUUUAACCCCAUUUUACAGAUACAAGGGGUCUACAUGAGGAACUAGGUCCCACAGGCCAUGGAGAAACGCUGGACUUCAUUUGAAAUUGAAACCACAUUGGCUGGGCUGAGGCUGAGGCAGGAUUCAGGCUGCAAGCCCGCCUUGCUGAGUUGGACACCUCGAUGGUCUCCACCGCAGGGACCGGCAUUCUUUGCGGGUGAAGUGUACUCUGCCAGCCAGUUCCUGGCAGAGGUAUCCAGAAGUCGAAGGUUCUUUUUCUGCCUUGCCCUUCUCUUUAAAACCAACCCAAGGACGAUCCUCUGACUUCCGUUUGCCACCUUCAGUGAGCUGGUCGUAGCUGCCUGCAAAGAUGCCAAAGAAGGAGUCAGGGUCCACUUGAGAAAGUUGGCGAUGGUGGCUGAUGCCAGCUGCUGUGGAGGGGCAGCAGCAGGAACGUGGGCCAGGACUGAAGUCUGCCUGGCGACACCAGACGUGGCCGACCAGACACCAGGUGGUCGUCACUCCUGCCUAGGUCCACUGCAGUGUGUGAAGCAGGAGCCCUCCCAGGUCUUCAGGACCUGAGGAAAUCCGGGAAGCGCAUUACAUCCAAGGCGACCCAGAAACCAGGAUUAAGGUCGAGACAUGAUCCUUGCCUAGAAACUGCUGGGUACCGGAAGGCGCGUUGGAGCAGCUGGUGGGAGAUUCCAUAGCAAGAUCGAGAGCCAGGAGAAUGGAGACGUGGACAGACUGAAACUUCAUUCAUUUAAAAAAAAAAAAAAAUGAAGCGAUUUAUUUAUGAGCCAGACACCACGCUAGAAAUAGCGCUACAAGGAUGAAUAAGACAGUGUGUGCCUUGAAGGGGAUCAUUGAUAAGUAUGUAAUGUUUGUGAUUUUACUCAAAGUUGUGUAUGCUUUUGUCUUUUUGUUUCAGGUAGAAGAGCUCCUUUCAAUAUUUCUUGUAAUGCAGGUCUUGUGGUAAAUUCCCUCAGCUUUUGUUUGUCCCAUCUCAGCCAACACACAAACAAGGAAGGGGCAAAAGAAGACUUUUCAGCUCACUUCUGUCUGACUUGUUUGUUCCCGUAACCAUGACCUCAAAUGACACGUACAGCAUGUUUAACGUUGAGCAGGACGCUUUGGGCUGAGUAGUAACUGGACACGGCUCGCGCUUUUAUUUAUUUUUUUUCUUUUUAGUGG